ensembl:lncRNA
GGGCAAUAUCUGACAGACAGAGACUGUAUAAAGAAACUGUGAAAUGUAGUUCUCAGAACAGGCUGAAGUUGGAUGAAUAGGAUGUUUAACAGUUGCAUAUGCUCAGUGAUAACAGAUUUUUUUAUUUUUUUAUUUCUUUUUUAUUAUUAUUAUUUUUUUGCUGAGGGGUUUGAAUUUGUAAAAGCAGAACGGUAAAUGCCUUGCAGCACGGAAGGCUCAGCUCUGAGGCCAGUGCCAGGACCUGCAGAGAGUCCUCUGCCAAGGGACGAGACAUCAGCUAUCCUGCUUCAAAUCUCUGACAAGGAUGUGAAAACCGCAGCGUCAGAACAACUGCUGCUCCCUUCUCAAAUUCUGACAAGCAACUUUCAACCUGAAAUCCUCUAAAAAUGCAUGCGUAUAUAUAGAUAGAUAUAUAAAAAUCAAAAUUGACUAUAUUGACUGUAUUUCUUUGCCCAGUUCUGACAGGUUGGAAAUGUGUGCAGAAAUGAGCAAUGCAGAAUAUGGCAAUAGCAUUUGGUGCUUGCCCAAUGGGUCCACCUACCACAAGGAGUUUAUGGGCGGCUGUUUCCCAGAUUUUGUGUGAGGGAGAAAGCAAAAUGACCUCCAGAAUGAUUUCAGCAGCUCUGUUGGGUUGCUGUGAGUGCUAACAUCCGUGGCUCCUGCGAGGAAUUGUAACAAUGGUCUUUGUGCCAUAAUUUGAGUGAGCCAUAUCCCACCAAGUAAAGAUACUUUCAUGGAUCCAACGUGGUUCCUAGUCAGUGUUAUUCAUUAUUUGACCUUAAAUUUUGCAUAUGAUAUGGCCAACUGAUUAUACUGAAGGCAGCAGAGAUGGGAACAGGCACAUUACAUGCUCCAGAAGAUGCUGAGAUAACAGGGGAAGAAAUGGGGGAUUGUAAAAACUGGGCACCAUGCUAUCUGAAAAGGAUGGCUUUGGUGGCACUCAUCAUGAUGGUGUAUCCUCCUACUAUCACUGAUCAUCUGAGGCUUUUCAGGAAUGUAAGCAGGUUUGGACACUAAUGCCCAAAGGGUAAGAGCAAAUUCGGAGAGGUGUCCCCGGAUUUGAAGUGCAGCUUGCUUUGAUGGCUUUGGGAGCUCACAAGGAGGGUCAGGGCAGCCAAGCCUGGAUGAUUUUGUAGCUCAUCCCCACCACCCACCCUCCAGCUGUACAUGGCAGCAGUGUCCUCACUUAUGCCAAAGCUUGUGGCACUCAUUUUUGAGAAGAGAGUAGCUAUCAGUAAGGUCCGUGUCCAGAAUUUGGGCAGCAGCAUUUAAGAAGCGUGAAUCCAAGUCUGGAAAGUCACCCCUGAUAUUUUACUUCGGAAAGCAGCUGUGGUUGGAGGUGGGAGCAUUGGAAAAGCAGUGCUAGUUUGCACACAGGGAAGGCAAGCUCUCCCUCGUGCCUGGUGGUGAAGAGGCAGAAACAGAGCAGAGACUGAAACCACUGCAAAUAUUUGUUCUCGUUGUCAGAUGUUUCUAUAAAAUCAGUUGUUACUGAAUCACUGUUGAAGUUAUUGAGCAUUUAAAUAAGCAGAGAGUGAGAAAAGCUAAGUCUAAUUAUACAUUUCAUGCCAUUUACAGAGGUUUCCAGGGGAUUUUCUUUUAAUAAAAGUGCAGUGCAUCAAAAAGAAUAAAUCCUACAAUUUUGUUAUUUACAAAUCAGCUUCUUCUGCCUCAAGCUGACAGACUUACUCUCCAUCUUACACUCUUCCUUCCACUCCAAAAUACACCCAGGACAUUGACAUUUCUGCUAAUACUUGUCAAGUAUCUACAUACUAUUUUAUGCUCCUUAGGCUGGUAAGCAAAUGGAUGCAAAGAAAAUCAUAGCAUCGGCAUGAUGAAUGUCUUCUUUCAGAACGAUAUAAAGAAAAAACCCACAGUGUCAGAAAGCAUGUAACUCUGAUGUUUUCCAGAUGAAGAGGAAGAAGUGCCUUUUAU